CACGUAGGGUGCGAGCGUUGUCCGGAAUUAUUGGGCGUAAAGAGCUCGUAGGCGGUCCGUCACGUCGGAUGUGAAAUUCCAGGGCUCAACCCUGGACCUGCAUUCGAUACGGGCGGACUAGAGUUCGGUAGGGGAGACUGGAAUUCCUGGUGUAGCGGUGAAAUGCGCAGAUAUCAGGAGGAACACCGGUGGCGAAGGCGGGUCUCUGGGCCGAUAUUGACGCUGAUGCGCGAAAGCCAGGGGAGCAAACGGG
rnacentral:rRNA from 1 species